CUGUCCCGCCUGGCCGGAGCGAAGCGGGGCUGGGGGUGUCUGUGUGCUACCUGCCGAGCCAAGGCACGCGGGGACCGAGCGCUACCUGCCGGGCUGGCCGCUCCCGCUGAGCCUCGCCCGGGCCCUGUGAGGCGGCUGCGUUCGCUGCUGGGAGCUGAGCCCCGCCGCCUGGAGCCGGGAUGUCCGCGCGGUGCUGCGCGGGCCAGUUGGCCUGUUGCUGUGGUACUGCUGCUUGCUCCCUGUGCUGCAGAUGCUGCCCCAAGAUAAAGCAAUCUACGAGCACCCGCUUCAUGUAUGCACUUUACUUCAUACUGGUAACGGUCAUCUGCUGUAUCAUGAUGUCAAGAACAGUAGCUACCAAAAUGAAAGAGCGUAUUCCUUCUUAUGAGCACAUCUGCAAAGGUAUUCAAGCAGGUGAAAAGUGUGAGAAGCUAGUGGGAUACUCUGCGGUGUAUAGGGUCUCUUUUGGAAUGGCAUCUUUCUUCUUUGUCUUCUUCUUAUUCACCAUCAAAGUUAACAACAGCAAAAGCUGCCGAGCAUACAUUCACAAUGGGUUCUGGUUCAUUAAGCUUCUAGUUUUGGCAGCCAUGUGCUCAGGAGCUUUCUUCAUUCCAGAUCAAGGCACCUUCCUUAAUGCCUGGCGCUAUGUAGGUGUUGCAGGAGGAAUCCUUUUUAUACUCAUUCAGCUUAUCCUGCUUGUGGAGUUUGCACACAAAUGGAAUAAAAACUGGACGGCGGGCAUAACACGUAAUAAACUGUGGUAUGGCUUACUAGCUCUGGGCAUUCUCAUCUUGUACUCCAUUGCUGUGGGAGCCCUGAUUUUGAUGGCUGUCUUUUACACACGCUCUGAGGGCUGUACCUACAACAAGAUCCUGCUUGGUGUAAAUGGUGGCUUGUGCAUUCUUAUUUCAUUGGUAGCCAUCUCACCCUGUGUCCAAAGUCGCAAGCCACACUCUGGUUUGUUGCAGUCAGGAGUUAUCAGCUGCUAUGUCAUGUAUCUCACCUUCUCAUCUCUGUCAAGCAAACCACCAGAAACUAUCCUGGGUGAGAACCAUAAGAACAUUACAAUCUGCGUACCUGACUUUAGUCAGGGUUUGCACGGAGAUGAGAACCUGGUUACUGGAUUGGGCACUGCCCUUCUGUUUUGCUGCAUUUUAUAUUCUUGUUUGACCUCAACAACUCGUGCAAGCUCUGAAGCACUGAGAGGAGUAUAUGCAACGCCUGAAACUGAAGUAGCUCGUUGCUGCUUUUGCUGUGCACCCGAUGGAGAUGCUGACACCGAAGAGCAUGUUGAAAAAAGCGGCGGUCAGACUGUAAUUUAUGAUGAAAAGAGAGGCACAGUAUACAGCUAUGCCUACUUCCACUUCGUUUUCUUCUUGGCUUCUCUCUAUGUGAUGAUGACAGUAACUCACUGGUUCCAUUAUGAAAGUGCUGAGAUUGAAAAAUUCUUCCGUGGAACCUGGUCCACCUUCUGGAUUAAGAUGGUGUCAUGUUGGGUGUGUGUCCUACUCUACCUGUGGACUCUUGUAGCACCUCUCUGCUGUCCAACCCGAGAAUUCUCAGUGUGAGAAUUCACAAGCGCUAUUCUGUUACAAAUACAUCAGUCACUUUGUGAUGGAGAACACCUGGCAUUGGCCACCAUUGGAAGACAGGAUACUGGGCGAGAUGGACCUUUGAUCUGACCCGGUAUGACGUUCCUAUGUUCAUCAUCCUUUUACUUGGACCCUUUCUUUAAGCUGCAAGAAUUCAAUUCCUAAUGUGUUAAAAGAAAAAAACCCACACAAUCCUGAUGCAAAUAGAUGGUCUGUUAACACAUUAUCAUGCCUUCAUUGUUCUGUAUUGCAGUAAUUAUGGUAGUUCUAUUACUGCCAUAUUACUAUGAUAGAUUUGUUCUGUUAAUGCUAUCUCUAGUACUUCUAACAUGCAUAUCACUGGCAUCUGUGCACUGAGGGGUGAGAUGGAGAAUUCUGGUUCCUGACUUUAGCAGGAGUUAGAUGCAGAUUUUUAUACCCAGGGUAUAGGUACCCUCUUUCGUCAGCUUAUUGUUUGACUUUCCUGUUCUCCCAGGUCAUUUCCCAAACAACCCUUACAAAAAGCUAGCUUCCAGUAUUGCAUUUUAACAACUCAGUAAAACAGUUUGCUUAAUGCUAAGAACCAUCAUUGAAAUAAAGAGCAGAAAUAAACCUUUCCGCUAUGCUACUGGGGGAAGGAAGUGGGUGCUCCUGAGCCCCCUAAAGAUCUCUCAGGUAAAAGGUUUCUGGGCUUUCUCCUUGGAGCCAGAGCGGCAGGAAGCGACUGUCUCAUUCUGGGGUCUGAGUUGAACUGAUAUGGCUCUGCAAGAGUUGAAUUACUCCCAAACCCUGCACAUCCUCCUUCUCACGCAAACUCUGCAGAGUUUGCAAAAUCCUAUAAACUUUAUGCUACUAACCCCACUGUUCCCAGGGGCUUAGAUAUCCAUCAGAAUCCCCUCUGUUGAAAACUGAUGUGUGGGUUUCUUUGGUAUGACCACAAAUCUUUCCACAUUCUCUCUCACUCACACCCCAACACCACUUCAGCUUAAAUAAGUUUUUUGCUAUUACGUUAUGAAGGUGAACAAAUAGUUUUCUGGGUUUUGAUUGAUUGAU